UAGGGAAUCUUCCGCAAUGGACGCAAGUCUGACGGAGCAACGCCGCGUGAGUGAAGAAGGAUUUCGGUUCGUAAAACUCUGUUGUUAGAGAAGAACAGCGCAUAGAGUAACUGUUAUGCGUGUGACGAUAUCUAACCAGAAAGCCACGGCUAACUACGUGCCAGCAGCCGCGGUAAUACGUAGGUGGCAAGCGUUGUCCGGAUUUAUUGGGCGUAAAGCGAGCGCAGGCGGUCAAUUAAGUCUGAUGUGAAAGCCCCCGGCUCAACCGGGGAGGGUCAUUGGAAACUGGUUGACUUGAGUGCAGAAGAGGAGAGUGGAAUUCCAUGUGUAGCGGUGAAAUGCGUAGAUAUAUGGAGGAACACCAGUGGCGAAGGCGACUCUCUGGUCUGUAACUGACGCUGAGGUUCGAAAGCGUGGGUAGCAAACAGG
rnacentral:rRNA from 1 species